GCGGCGGCGCGGCGGAGAGGCGGACAGCGGCGGAGAGGCGGACAGCGGCGGAGAGGCGGACAGCGGCGGAGAGGCGCACAGCGGCGGAGAGGCGCACAGGGGCGGAGAGGCGCACAGCGGCGGCGAGGCGCACAGCGGCGGCGCAGGCGCGGAGAGGCGCAGGCCCAGGCUCCACUCCCCAGCUGUGAAAGGGUAAGAGCUGAGGGUGGCUGAGACUCGGGGUUGUUCAGGGCGGGGUGGGCUCUGGACCCAGCAGGCCCGGCACCCAGGUCAGGGCUCCAGGGGAGGCCAGGAGCUCUACGGUGAUUUUGAAGACUUGGAAACGGGACGUGCACAAGGGAAAAUCGGGCCCCGACACUCAG
rnacentral:lncRNA from 1 species